rnacentral:rRNA from 1 species
AGCGAACGCUGGCGGCAGGCCUAACACAUGCAAGUCGAACGUAUCCUUCGUGAUUAGUGGCGGACGGGUGAGUAACACGUGGGAACGUGCCCUUUGGUUCGGAACAACUCAGGGAAACUUGAGCUAAUACCGGAUGUGCCCUUCGGGGGAAAGAUUUAUCGCCAUUGGAGCGGCCCGCGUCUGAUUAGCUAGUUGGUGAGGUAACGGCCCACCAAGGCGACGAUCAGUAGCUGGUCUGAGAGGAUGAUCAGCCACACUGGGACUGAGACACGGCCCAGACUCCUACGGGAAGCAGCAGUGGGGAAUCUUGCGCAAUGGGCGAAAGCCUGACGCAGCCAUGCCGCGUGAAUGAUGAAGGUCUUAGGAUUGUAAAAUUCUUUCAGCGGGGACGAUAAUGACGGUACCCGCAGAAGAAGCUCCGGCUAACUUCGUG